CAAAUGACUCUCAGCAACGGAUAUCUUGGCUCUUGCAACGAUG
rnacentral:rRNA from 2 species